rnacentral:rRNA from 1 species
UACAGAGGGGCGAGCGUUGUUCGGAAUUACUGGGCGUAAAGGGCGCGUAGGCGGCCCGCUAAGUCGAACGUGAAAUCCCCAGGCUCAACCUGGGAACUGCGUCCGAUACUGGCAGGCUUGAAUCCGGGAGAGGGAUGUGGAAUUCCACGUGUAGCAGUGAAAUGCGUAGAGAUGUGGAGGAACACCGAUGGCGAAGGCAGCCCCCUGGGAUGAAGACUGGACGCUCAUGUACGAAAGCGUGGGGAGCAAACAGG